GACCUCGGAUCAGGUAGGAAUACCCGCUGAACUUAAGCAUAUCAAUAAGCGGAGGAAAAGAAACCAACAGGGAUUGCCCUAGUAACGGCGAGUGAAGCGGCAACAGCUCAAAUUUGAAAUCUGGCCUUCCGGUCCGAAUUGUAAUUUGCAGAGGAUGCUUUUGGCGCGGUGCCUUCCGAGUUCCCUGGAACGGGACGCCUUAGAGGGUGAGAGCCCCGUACGGUUGGACACUAAGCCUCUGUAAAGCUCCUUCGACGAGUCGAGUAGUUUGGGAAUGCUGCUCUAAAUGGGAGGUAAAUUUCUUCUAAAGCUAAAUACCGGCCAGAGACCGAUAGCGCACAAGUAGAGUGAUCGAAAGAUGAAAAGCACUUUGAAAAGAGGGUUAAAUAGCACGUGAAAUUGUUGAAAGGGAAGCGUUUACGGCCAGACCUUUUCCUGGCGGAUCAUCUGGUGUUCUCACCAGUGCACUUCGUCAGGUUUAGGCCAGCAUCGGCUUCUGCAGGGGGAUAAAAGCAGUGGGAAGUAGCUCUCUUGGGAAGUGUAAUAGCCCUAAGCAUAAUACCCUUGCGGGGG
rnacentral:rRNA from 1 species